GGUUCUUUUAAAAAAUGUGAUAUUUGUAAGGAAAAGAUUAAGGUAGUUCAGAACAAAAUGGAGUGGGUAUUAUGUCAGAGGAGUGGUGAUACUGAUUGACAACGGUUGUCAUGGGCUGUUGCCACAUUGUCUUAACUUAAAGGACUUGUAAAACAUACUUCUGGGUAUAGGUAUGUCAUGUAAAGUCUGUUGACUUAGGAACUCAAAAAAUUACACUUAACAGAUGUUAAACUCAGAUUUUAAAUCAUACAUUAGGUUUUACAAGGUUUCAGCAUGCUUUCCUGGUGAAAUGAAUGAGAACAGCAUUUUUACUAACAUUAAGCAAGUUUUAUUAAGCAUGUUGACAAGGUUCUAAUAAACACAUUGAGGUAAAUUUCAUGUUGAAAGAGACUCAGCAAAAUCCUCCCUCAAAAAUAUAUUUAGCAUUUUUGAGUUUACGAGAUAAAUAGAC
rnacentral:lncRNA from 1 species